AACGAACGCUGGCGGCAGGCUUAACACAUGCAAGUCGAACGCCCCGCAAGGAGAGUGGCGGACGGGUGAGUAACGCGUGGGAACGUACCUUUCGCUUCGGAAUAUUCCCGGGAAACUGGGAGCAAUGCCGAAUACGCCGUAUUGGGAAAGAUUUAUCGGCGAAAGAUCGGCCCGCGUUAGAUUAGGUAGUUGGCGGUGUAAUGGACCACCAAGCCUACGAUCUAUAGCUGGUCUGGGAGGAUGAUCAGCCACACUGGGACUGAGACACGGCCCAGACUCCUACGGGAGGCAGCAGUGGGGAAUCUUGGACAAUGGGCGCAAGCCUGAUCCAGCCAUGCCGCGUGAGUGAAGAAGGCCUUAGGGUUGUAAAACUCUUUCGCCGGUGAAGAUAAUGACGGUAACCGGAGAAGAAGCCCCGGCUAACUUCGUGCCAGCAGCCGCCGUAA
rnacentral:rRNA from 1 species